CUUCUCCCUCCCUUCACUCCUUUUGCCUCUCUGCUUCAGAAAAAAAUAAAUCAGUCUCAGUUCUAUAAUCAUAAAAAUACCACCAUCAUGAGCGAAGUUUGCGAAAAAUGUCAACACAUGCCAUUUCUCUCCAAUCUUUCUCUGGAAACCAGUUGCAAUUUCAAAGUUAGGGUUUGUAAAAAAGAAAAAUCCCUUGCGUUUUGACAUGGUUCGAGAUUUGGGUAUUCUUUUCGUAUUGAAACUAAAUUUCAUCGAUUGCAUCUCACUCUCUAAAACACCGAUUCAUCUUCCAGAUCGAAAACCCUAAUCCACUGCUACAAUUUCUAGCUGAGAGUAAGGGCUUGAUAGUGUUGGUCAGCUGCACUGAAAUGGCAAUGAGUUAAUUGUGCUGUACAUGGGGCAUCUAUACGAAAUAAGCUUGCUACUACAGAGCAAGGAUGUUUCUCUCUUAAAGUUUUUAUUGAUUUGAUAGACGAUCCUAUCAAAUCUCAGCUGCUACCAAUCAUCAUAGGUGACACCAAUGACCCUUUCUGGAGAUGCUUACGGGGAUAAGUGGUGGUGUUACUGGUGGAUCUAAUGGGUUCGAGAUGAUUUCAUAAGUGAAGAUGGGUUCAGAGUGGAUGCUGCUAAAACUGGUGUUGUCUGUGUUGUUGUUGGUGAUUGCUUGAAUGGGUUAUGGAAGCUGUGGUGGUCCUAUAGAUGUUGUAGCUGAUGUUGCAGUUGAAGAUGGGUUUUUCAGUUAUCUGGUUCUCUUUGUAAAAGCUCCACAAAGUCAAAUAAACCUCCAUUGUUAUUCAUCUCCGAAUUUGAGAAGCUGCAGAGAAAAUCGAUUUGAUAUUUCUCUAGAAAUAAUCGGUUUACUUGGUCUAGACCACUAAGUUUCUUUGGAAGUAUUGCUUAUGGAAACAGGUAGCUCUACGGCACUGCCCAUAUAAUCCUUAAAGCAACCAUAUUCGAUGUGCUGAAGCAACCAUACCAGAUACCAGGGGUUACUUAUUUGAUAGUAUGAAGGUGGAUGGUAUUUGUGAGGGAUAUAAAAGCUCAACAAAGUAUUUUGUGAGGGUAUGGUAAGACUUGUACUUGAUCAAAGUAUUACGAGGAAUGCAGAACCUUGGUGUGAAAGGUGCGUUGUUGCAUUCCCCUGCGCGAUACAGAAUGACGGGAAAUCUGAUGUUAUCAAUUUGGUUAGCUCAGGUUUCCGAAUAUUGGUAAAAGGUAAACCUUCUAGUCAAAGCAUUAUGAGGAUGCAGUGGAAUGGAAGGUUCACAGGUUCAACUAUUCCUUAUACUCCUCAAGCUGUUGAUGUACAAGGGAAAAACAACAUUUUUGUUGCUUCAUCAAAGAGAAACACUUUGGUUAUUAUGCAGGUCACUCGAUCCGUUUUUUCUAUUAAGUGUGCACAUUUUUUUAGUUGGCAGUUCUAUAUUUUUGGUUUGUUUACAAGGAUGUUUUACUCGCCAUGUUCGUGCAUUAUUCCAAGAUUCUAAGGAAAAGGUCAGUCUCUUGAUAGUUGAACUUAAAUAGUUUCCUAUUUUCUCUAGACAGAUUCAUGCUCACUAUCUACUUAUUGGUGACUGUAAUAAUGUUAUUAGUGACUGCAAUUUUC